GUGUAGCACAGCUUUAGAUUGCCCAAACGAAUGUGGUGCUGACCACAGGGCGGCCUGCCUUCGGGCUUAUACCUCGUUAGGAUCACUUCUACCACGCCAAUAUUGCGGCUGUGAAAACUAUUGCGACUCAGACUCUGAAUGUGGCUAUCUUAACUGUAAAUCGUAUGAAGUACAGCGCUGUAGCAACGGCCACUCCUGUUAUUGCAGUCCAGAGUGUACUUCAACUUCUGCAUGUCCCGAAUGCUCUACUCCUCCAAAAGAAAUAUGUUUCAAAACAAGCAACCGAAACCAAUUGGGAGAAUGCGGCUGUAUUUCGACAAAUGUGUGAGAGGAACUCGGAUUGCUCAGGAAUCGGAAACUGUUGUGUUUUGGACUGCUAUGGAGCCUGGCGCUGCCGACAGACGUCACAAAUCUUUGGAUGUCCUGGUGAAUCGAACGGAUUUGUUAACAUGAGUCUUUACCCAGUUUCCUGGUGUAAUGAUGGUUCGCGUCCAUCACAUUAAUGCAGGAUUAUCGGCUCAGAAUUUUGCGUUUAAAAUUAUCUCUUUACAUAUAUACAUUUAAAACAAAUAUUGUCUAUUGCAUUUUCAUUUUUAUAAGUUAAUAAACCU